rnacentral:lncRNA from 11 species
AAUCCUCCUGUAAUAGGCAUCAUGACACCUCCACUAUACAUUGGAAUGAUGUUAGACCUUCGGGGAUUCCAGAGCAGUCAAGCCAAAAUGGAACACGUUCCUUAAAAGAUAAUAAAAUGUGAGCAUAUGUAACCGUAACCACCACAUAAAUUGACAAAAACGUACGGAAUCAGAUUCACAGGCCAUCCCAUCGGACACGACGUCUCCGGCGAAAGAGGAUUCAAAAGAAUACGCCAGAACUUUUAAGUUAUUUUUUUGCCGUGACCUACUUAAAUCAACUAGUAUGAGAUUGGCUAACGCUUCGGAGCAGUGAGUUUAUAUGCCUGCUCACACACACACACAAAUCUCGGCAUCUCCGGCAUGGAAAAAGUUUCUCACAACCAAGAAAUUAGGAAGGAUUUCUUUUUUGCUUGGAUGGGAGUGGCAAUAAGUUAAAAAUAGUUUCAGGAGGGAUGCGUCUCUCACUGCCUAAAAUUAUGUGCUGGAAACAGACUGGACCCUGCAGGAUCCGAUCAGGAGGGUUUCCACACCAAGACCUUGAAGUGCUGUGCCAAGACUACUAUUUCUUAAGAACAACACAGGUAAAGAAAACUGCGGAGCCCUCUUGGCAUUCAGAGCCGGCUGCAGAGCAUCCUGUUGCCUGUAUUUGUGUGUCCGCUCUUGGCCGAGAAGAACAAAAGGAAAACGCAGGGGGAAUCCCAAGCAGGCCAACAACGUACGCCAUGUUGGUGUUGGGAGAGAGAGAGGAAAGAAUGAAAGGAAGGAAGGAAGGAAGGAUGGAAGAGAGGAAGUGACAAACCUACGUACAGAGCCAGCCCUAGGUAUUUUUCAAGUGUAGGCAAACAGACUUUUGCUCCCCCCCCCCCCGCAAACCAAUAACUGAAAAAUAAAAGCUUUGGAUAAGCGAAAAUGUUGGAUAAUAAGGAGGGAUUAAGGAAAAGCCUAUUACACAUCAAAUUACAUUAAGAUUUUACAAAUUAAGCACCAAAACAUCAUGCUUUACAACAAAUCAACAGAAAAAGCAAUUCAAUACAUUGUGAUGACUCAUGGGCCAUGUAGUCCCGUUCCUGGUACUAUUGUGGCAGAUGAAGAGGAAAACUUGGGUUUCCCACCGUUUCAGCCAGAAUUGGAGCCCUUGCACCUGCAAGAUGUUUGCCCACAAGAAGUCAGCCAAACAAGCCUUGAGCAGAAAUCUCCCCCAUUUUCUCGAGAUAGAGGCGCUAGGGAGGCGAAUCGCAGAAGCGCCAGGAUUGCUGCCAGACAAUUAGCUGAUUAAGCCUGUUUCCCUUGGGAAAUCUUAAGGAGUCAUGCAUCUGGACACAGUAUGGGUUUCGUUUCUUGUUCCCCAGGGAAAGUGUUCCUUGGCAGGAAAACAAGAUCCUAUAUAGGUGUUUACCUGCAAGGAAAUCCUUGUGGAGUCAAUUCGUCAGCUUCGGGAGUGAGAUCGUGUGUGGACUACGCUACUCCAGUUCCCUGAUCCACGGACCUUGUUCUAGUUCCAAGCCUGCCUUGUCCCCGGAUCUUGCCACGGACCUCGUUCUUGCUUCUUGCCUCUUGUUGCCACGUAUCAAGCCUUGUUUGCCAAGAAUCUAGUUUGCUUCCAGCCUUGUUGUCAAGCUCCAUUGGACUAAAGGACCCUGUCAUUUCCCCACACUUUGCUUGGCAAAGUGUGUGUUUCAGUUAUUGGAUUAUAACUUUGGACUCUAAUAUCACAUAUUGGACAUUGUUUUCCUGGACUAUAUUUGACCUUUCCUGAAAGGUCUACUUCUGAACUAUAUUCUUCACUUGUUUUUAUUGACUUUAUAUUUUCCUUUAAUAAAGAUAUUAGAUAGAUUCUGGCCUCUGCACAUGGUUAUUGGUGUUCUGUAGCCUGGGUCCUGACAGCGCCACAGGCAACUGCCUAGUUGGCCUGGUGGUUGAACCGCCUCUGCCAACGUAUAAGACAGAGAAAAGGAGAAGAGAGAAAGAAGAAAGAGAAAAAUUCUUCAUC